rnacentral:RNase_P_RNA from 1 species
UAACGCCUGGGGGGUGUCACAGCCCACGACCAGUGCAACAGAGAGCAAACCGCCGAUGGCCCGCGCAAGCGGGAUCAGGUAAGGGUGAAAGGGUGCGGUAAGAGCGCACCGCGCGGCUGGUAACAGUCCGCGGCACGGUAAACUCCACCCGGAGCAAGGCCAAAUAGGGGUUCAUAAGGUACGGCCCGUACUGAACCCGGGUAGGCUGCUUGAGCCAGUGAGCGAUUGCUGGCCUAGAUGAAUGACUGUCCACGACAGAACCCGGCUUAUCGGUCAGUUUCACCU